rnacentral:lncRNA from 1 species
CCUCCUAUUUGAUGUUUCUGAUGUAUGCCUCCACCCACCUCUCUCCCAAACCCCAGUGCCACGAAGGCCAAGAUUUUUUUCAACAAAAUCUAGCCCCAGGCCACUUUUCCAAGCAGGAUGGGCUUUUUGAGGCCUGAGAAGGUGGGAGGGGAGGAAAGAUCACAAAGCCAGAGGAUGAAGAGCCUGGAGCUUUAGAAGGAUGGUGCCCUUCUCCUCAUCUGUCUCACUCUUUUAAAAUGGCUAAUGCCCCAGAUAAAGAGUGCAGAUCACAUGUGACUUAUAACAUGAAUACACAGCACUGUAUAAACAGCCUCAGGAAAAGGCAGCCCUGGUCAUUCUGCUUAUGAGAGUCCCAACCAAGCUGAGUCUUUUUCCAUACAAUCUUGGAAUGGGAAAAUAUCAUCACCCCUCAUCCUUAAGGGUUUUCUUCAAUGG